rnacentral:rRNA from 1 species
UACGGGGGGGGCAAGCGUUGUUCGGAAUUACUGGGCGUAAAGGGUGCGUAGGCGGGCAGGUAAGUCAGUGGUGAAAUCUUUGGGCUUAACCCGAAAACUGCCAUUGAUACUAUCUGUCUUGAAUAUUGUGGAGGUGAGCGGAAUAUGUCAUGUAGCGGUGAAAUGCUUAGAUAUGACAUAGAACACCCAUUGCGAAGGCAGCUCACUACGCAUAUAUUGACGCUGAUGCACGAAAGCGUGGGGAUCAAACAGG